ensembl:lncRNA
AGUACUCUGUGUAUGUUACAUUAUACAGCCUUUUACCUUUUUGCGAAUUACACCUCAUCCGAGGAUUACAACAAGUAGCAUAUAUUUUUCUCUCCAAAUGAGUAGUUAACAGCGUAGAGUCGGCCUACGUGUUGAUGAACAGCAGUCAGGGAGAUUUAGAUCGUUAGUCUGACACAUGAACAACUCAUUAUCCCAGCGAAGCAGAAAAUGAUUCAGCGCAGGAUGUGCGUGUGUCAUUCAGCCUGAUUGGAGAGACAUGCAGCAUCGUGAGGAGAAGUAGCUUCUUGCAAAUCCUCCUAGACUACAACCACCGGAAGCCAUGACUGAUGAAAGGCUGCAUAGGCCUACAUGCAAGCGUGCAUGAGUCUAUGUGGCCCGUGUGAAUCUAGUCAGCCUGAGGAAGUCCUGUCGUCACACUGAAAGCUGCUUGACACGUAGAAACACUCUGAUAGAACUCAAUCAGGAGAGGAAAGGAAGCCUGAGGACAUUUCCAUGUAAAAGACCAAUGCGCAGCAACAUGUACAGAGAAUGGAAACAUCACAUUAUGCGUCUGGUUUACAGGUUUUCCUGUUUUAGACAAACCAGAGCACAGGCAACAGUUGGUAGGCAUCCCUCUCGUCACUGAGUUCUGAAUGUCUUUGCAAACCUCAUGCCAGAGGUUUCCGGAACACGGACAUGGGGGCAGAACACACCAAAACACAGCACUUGAUCAACACUUAAAGUGCGGCAAAGCUUUGCCUUUUUUCUCUUGAUGAAAGAGCGAGUGCAGGGCUGUCACAGGGUUUAGAAUACAGGGCUAGUUUGAAAGUUGCUUGUUUGAAGAGUGGUGCUUCUAUAUUAACCUGGAGGCCAGGGUAGAAGGCAGACAGCUGCGAGCUGUGUUAGGAUAGUGGUUAAAAGCUAAAAAUGGGAGAGGAUGAUGGAGUGGAUAUGCUGUAGUGUGGGCAAGUCUACUCCAUUCAACCAUCAAGCCUCUAGAUUCAGCAGUGUAUUUUAAGUCAAGUUUCUCCCUUUUUUUUAUCAAUCAUCUUACUCUCUGCCCCUCUAUAUCCCGCUAUUACUCUGUCUCUCUCUCUCUCUCUCUCUCUCUCUGACAUUUACUUGUAAUGAUUUCAUCAAUGUGUCAGGAGCUGAUAACCCUUAUCACACAUGAACAUCUAUGAAGGGGCCCAUAGAGACCUGGUCUGCCCUGUAAUGCUGCUGUAAUCAUGGCCAUUACUCAGUCAUCCAGAGGUUGAGAGACUCCGGCAGCCCAUCUGAGAACACAUUCUUUACUGCUCAGACCACAAACGGCUAUAAAGAAUUCCUUGUUUGAGGACGGCUGACUUAUUCAAACGAUGCUGGAAACGGGGCCAGUUUGCAUGCACUUCUUCCACUGCGCCCUGCUGUUUUGUGGUUCGUAGACGUGACUUGUCCCCCGGUUGGUCUGGACUGUGGAUGGUUGACCGUGGUGUCAGUUGGACGUUGCGGUGAGUCAGAGCAUCAUAACACUGCUCCUGCUCUUCCAGUCGCCAGCAAAAUUCGCUAGAUUCACCCGCACACCACCACUGUAAUUCUCCAUUCCACUGUGUACUGGCUAGACAUGUGCAGUGGCGCACGGUGGUUUAGGUACAUUUCAGUGAUGUGCACUAGCACUGCAGAUUAAAGCCAGGAACAGGCAGAUAUUUGAGCUCAUUAGUUGAGCUCGUGGAUUUGCUGAGGCAUCUACCAGAGGCUUUAUGAGGUCAGUCAGAGGAAAGUUUGGGUCUUUCCGUACCAUGAAGUCAGGGUAAAUAUUGGAAUCCGUAGUGAAGCAAACUCAUCAAUGCAGUGCCUUGUGGGUAAUAGAGAAGAGAUGAAAUGUGAGUAAGAGAAGAUGAGCGGGAAAUGACACCAAGGCAGAUGGUGGUGGCAUUGACCACCUUGAGUAUUGCUGUGGUCUUUAUGUGUGUGUGUGUGUGUGUCUGCGGAUUUUGUUUAGUCCUUGUUUAAACGUGAAUCUUAUUGUGUAUAAAUUUGUGUCUGAAAACAGAAUGCGUGCUCUUCCAUAAGCACAGUCUGAUGUUGGUAGGGUUGGUGUCAGACAAGGUUUUUCUUGCCUCUAGCAACCUCACUCUGGGUUUUUGGGAUGAAAGGGUUCUCCUCCAGGUGUGUAGGUGAUGGCCAGUGCCUUCUGGUUGAGCUUGCAGUAUAAGAAGCAGGGCGGCUUGGCAAGUUGCACAUUGGAGUACACAUCUUGAUCUUUAACUAUCCCUGCCUGAAGUUACUGCAAUAAGUCAUAAGCUUGAAUUGGACUUCCUGAAAAUUGGGACAGAAUAUAUUUUUUUUUAUAGGGAACCAGAUGGUGAAUACACUAUCUGGUCUUCGAACUCUCUGCAUUGUUAAAAUGACGAGUGAAGUCACAUAAAUGAUCCUUUAAAUGUCUUACUUGUGAUAAAAUGUGUCUUCUUGUAGACUGCAUUUCACUCAGAGGAAGCUUUGUGAACCAUAGUUUAGGACUAUUAAACCUGUUUGCAAC